AAGCAUAAUGGUUAUGCAAACAGACUCUGCAAUGGGAUCUCCAACUGCAUGCAAUAAUAACCUGGAGAGACACUAGCAGCACAGGUCAGCAUAAUACCUAUAGCUGCCACUCAACUUUCCUAUAUUU
ensembl:snoRNA